rnacentral:ncRNA from 1 species
GGCUUAAUUUGACUCAACACGGGAAAACUCACCCGGGCCGGACACCGUAAGGAUUGACAGAUUGAUAGCUCUUUCAUGAUUUGGUGGUUGGUGGUGCAUGGCCGUUCUUAUUUUAUUUAAAUUUAAAAAUAACCGAAUAUCCGGUAAAACAAUACAAUAC